UACGAAGGGGGCUAGCGUUGCUCGGAAUUACUGGGCGUAAAGGGCGCGUAGGCGGAUGUUUAAGUCAGAGGUGAAAGCCCAGGGCUCAACCUUGGAACUGCCUUUGAUACUGGACAUCUUGAGUACGGGAGAGGUGAGUGGAACUCCGAGUGUAGAGGUGAAAUUCGUAGAUAUUCGGAAGAACACCAGUGGCGAAGGCGACUCACUGGCCCGUUACUGACGCUGAGGCGCGAAAGCGUGGGGAGCAAACAGG
rnacentral:rRNA from 1 species